rnacentral:lncRNA from 1 species
UCACCUGUAAGGAAAAAAAACAUAAUUUAUUUAUUUAUCAGAAUAAGGAUAUAUCAAUCAUAUAAAUAAUAAACCAAAAAAUACCCUCUAUAGGAGGAUAAAUACUAAUACUACACAUAAUAUAAUGAAUGAAAAUAUGAAAUGCAUAAAAUCCCCAAAAUAACCCUCUAGAAGUAUGACUAUGUCCAAAUAGCCAAAAUAUCUUGCUCCCUCCAACUUUAUUUAUAAACAAUAAAUACAAAUAGAAUAAAACAGAGCCGGGUCAAACAGGAAGAUCCAU